rnacentral:tRNA from 1 species
GGAGGGGUGACUGAGCGGUCGAAAGUGCCGGUCUCGAAAACCGGUGUACCGUCAUGGUACCGAGGGUUCGAAUCCCUCCCCCUCCGCCA